rnacentral:siRNA from 1 species
CCACCACGAAGGUGCAUAGUGA